GAAAACCGGUUCACGUUAAUGGAUCAAAGAAGUCAAGCAUCAUUGGGCGCGGUCAGUACUUGGAUGGGUGACCACCUGGGAACACCGCGUGCCGUUGU